rnacentral:rRNA from 1 species
AGAGUUUGAUCAUGGCUCAGAAUCAACGCUGGCGGCGUGCCUAACACAUGCAAGUCGUACGCGAAAGGGGAGCAAUCCCUGAGUAGAGUGGCAAACGGGUGAGUAACACGUGGGUGACCUGCCUCAGAGUGGGGGAUAACGUCCCGAAAGGGACGCUAAUACCGCAUAACAUCCUGCCUUUGGAAAGGCGGAGAUCAAAGCCGGGGAUCGCAAGACCUGGCGCUUGGAGAGGGGCCCGCGUCUGAUUAGCUAGUUGGUAGGGUAAUGGCCUACCAAGGCGACGAUCAGUAUCCGGCCUGAGAGGGCGGACGGACACACUGGGACUGAGACACGGCCCAGACUCCUACGGGAGGCAGCAGUGGGGAAUUGUUCGCAAUGGGCGCAAGCCUGACGACGCAACGCCGCGUGGAGGAUGAAGAUCUUCGGGUCGUAAACUCCUGUCGAGCGGGACGAACACCCAUCCGGCUAACAUCCGGGCGGGCUGACGGUACCGCUAAAGGAAGCCCCGGCUAACUCCGUGCCAGCAGCGGCGGUAAUAC